rnacentral:rRNA from 1 species
CCUACGGGUGGCAGCAGUGGGGAAUAUUGCGCAAUGGGCGAAAGCCUGACGCAGCGACGCCGCGUGAGGGAUGAAGGUCUUCGGAUCGUAAACCUCUGUCAGCAGGGAAGAACGGUCACUGUGCUAAUCAGCAGUGAAUUGACGGUACCUGCAAAGGAAGCACCGGCGAACUCCGUGCCAGCAGCCGCGGUAAUACGAAGGGUGGGAGCGUAAAUCGGAAUUACUGGGCGGAAAGCGCUCGUAGGCGGUAUGUCAAGUCAAGGGGGAAAUCCCCGCGCUCAACGUGGGAACUGCCUUUGAAAAUGGCAAACUGGAGUGUGUGAGAGGAUAGUGGAAUUCCAGGUAUAGGAGUGAAAUCCGUAGAUAUCUGGAGGAACAUCAGUGGCGAAGGCGACUAUCUGGCACAUAACUGACGCUGAGGAGCGAAAGCGUGGGUAGCAAACAGGAUUAGAUACCCGGGUAGUC